rnacentral:rRNA from 1 species
AAUGAACGCUGGCGGCGUGCUUAACACAUGCAAGUCGUGCGCGAAAGCGGCUUCGGCCGCGUGUAGAGCGGCGAACGGGUGAGUAACACGUGGACAACCUGCCCAAGAGUGGGGAUAACCUGGGGAAACUCGGGCUAAUACCGCAUACGUUCGUGGGGUUUCGGCCCUGCGCAGAAAGGUGGCCUAUGCUUGCAAGCCACCGCUCCUGGAGGGGUCCGCGUCUGAUUAGCUAGUUGGCGGGGUAACGGCCCACCAAGGCGACGAUCAGUAGCCGGCCUGAGAGGGUGAUCGGCCACACUGGAACUGAGACACGGUCCAGACUCCUACGGGAGGCAGCAGUGGGGAAUAUUGGACAAUGGGGGAAACCCUGAUCCAGCAACGCCGCGUGGAGGAUGAAGGUCUUCGGAUUGUAAACUCCUGUUAGGGGGACGAAGGGAUGUCGGCGAACAGCCGGCAAACUUGACGGUACCCCCAGAGGAAGCCCCCGGCUAAACUCUGUGCCAGCAGCCGCGGUAAU